rnacentral:piRNA from 1 species
UGUUGCCUUUCUCUUUGGUGAACCACUG